rnacentral:rRNA from 1 species
AUUGAACGCUGGCGGAAUGCUUUACACAUGCAAGUCGAACGGUGGAGGGGGCAACCCCUCGAGAGUGGCGAACGGGUGAGUAAUAUAUCGGAACGUGCCCAGUCGUGGGGGAUAACGUAGUGAAAGUUACGCUAAUACCGCAUACGAUCUAAGGAUGAAAGCGGGGGAUCGCAAGACCUCGCGCGAUUGGAGCGGCUGAUAUCAGAUUAGGUAGUUGGUGGGGAAAAGGCUCACCAAGCCAACGAUCGGUAGCUGGUCUGAGAGGACGACCAGCCACACGGGAACUGAGACACGGUCCAGACUCCUACGGGAGGCAGCAGUGGGGAAUUUUGGACAAUGGACGAAAGUCUGAUCCAGCAAUUCCGCGUGCAGGAUGAAGGCCCUCGGGUUGUAACCUGCUUUUGUACGGAACAAAAAGGUCUCUCUUAAUACGGGGGACUCAUGACGGUACCGUAAGAAUAAGCACCGGCUAACUACGUGCCAGCCGCCGCUGUAA